GACAGAGGUGCCGAGCGUUAGGCGGAAUCACUGGGCUUAAAGCGUGUGUAGGCGGACUUCUAAGUACCUUGUGAAAUCCCAUGGCUCAACCAUGGAACUGCUUGGUAUACUGGUUGUCUUGAGCCACUUAGGGGCAGUCGGAACAGAUGGUGGAGCGGUGAAAUGCGUAGAUAUCAUCUGGAACGCCAAAGGUGAAAACAGGCUGCUGGGAGUGUGCUGACGCUGAGACACGAAAGCUAGGGGAGCGAACGGG
rnacentral:rRNA from 1 species